AGAGAGUAAUUUUAAAUAAAAUCUAAUUAUAUUGGCGGCAUUCAAUCUUAUUAGAGGAACUUGUUCCAUAAUCGAUAACACACGAUAAUUCUUACUUUUUUAAAAAAUUUAUAUACCGCCGUCUAAAGAAUUAAUUUAUAAACAAUAUUCUUAAUAAAAAUUAAAAAGUAAGGUCAAGGUGUAAUUUAUAUAAAAGAGAGUAAUGAGUUACUUUAAAUAAAAUUUAAGAAAAAUAUAAUAAAAUAUAUUAAGAAAAAGGAUUUAAUAAUAAUAUAAUAAUAAUAUUAAUAUAUGAAUAAGAUAAUAAAUGUGU
rnacentral:rRNA from 1 species